rnacentral:rRNA from 1 species
GUCUACGGUCACGCCACCCUGGACGAGCCCCAUGUCUGGUCUCGGAAGCUAAGCAGGGUCGACAAGCCCCAUGUCUGGUCUCGGAAGCUAAGCAGAGUCGGGCCUGGUUAGUGCUCGGAUGGGAGACCACCUAGGAAGACCAGGUGCUGUAGGCA